AUGUUGACUUUCUACAAUAUAGUACAUACUGAAAUUAUUUUAAAAAAAAAUCUCGUAAGUCUUUUGAUUAGCUACAGAUAUAUAAUGUACUCCUAUCAUUUCAUGAUUUUUCAGAUUGCAACAAAAAUGGCACAGAGAUUGGGUAUACAUGCGCAUGACUCUUUGAGACCGACGAUGGACGUGUAAGCUGCAAGUUGUUGAUAAAUGUAAAGCACAAGAAAGCAGAACAUGCAAGAUAUCAUCUUUCUCAAUGGGCGAGGAAAUGAAGUCAUAUGCAAAUAAUUUUGCAUACAAUACUUUUUGCAUAUACAACUAGAUCCAACUUCCACAACACCAUCUGGAUAGUUGCGUCAGGUCGAAGGAUCUUAACUUUCGAAGAAGCUCGGGGGUGUUGAGUUAGCUGUACUUGGUAACCAUUUGAUGGAAAGCAGAUCUAUUUUUAUCUGGGAGAAAUAGUACUGAGCAAAACUAUAAAUCUUAAUUUCUAGCUAGCCUAGUCAUCUCUGUCAUUUCGAGGUAGUAAGAUCAACCUUUUUUGAUUUCACAUCUAAUGUAAUGCUGAAAAGAAAGCUCUCUUCCUAAAAUCUGAAUUUGAUUGUUUUCUUGCUUUGCACGGUGCUUUUAUUCAUCUGUACAUCUGUGCAUUCUCUAUCGAAUGCAUUUUUAGUGCAACAAUUUGCUUACGUGUGGCUUUCAUUUAAGCAAGAUUCAAAUACUUGUAGUGGAUGAACUUAUCUUCAUUUUCUUAUUUGUUAAAAGGUUUCAGCGGGAAGAAGUUCAGAUUGUAGCUCGCUUUUGAGUUUGCAACAUAUACAUCUUUUGAUAGCCACCAUGUGCAUGGAAGAAGAAUAACUCAAAGUAUAGCUUGUUACCAUUUCCCAUUUACGGGCCAUGUGGUGAUUUUUUUUUUUUUUUUUUUGGGGACAUGUAUAGGAGUUGGACGAGGAUAUAUUGCAAGAGGGUCAUGUGAUGAUACAGUACAAUAUACAGGACUCUGGACUCAAAGUUCACUCUACAUAAAUCUUGAACAUUUGGAGCAAGCUUGAAAAUAAAUGGAGAGGAAUAUAAGUUUUAAGGCACAAGACACUGUGAUCUUGGAGCCGAGCGUGGAAGUGAAAGUUCGCAAGAUUUGGGCUGUCUAGGGUCCCAUGUAUUGCUGCUGGAAAUUUUGUUCUUUUCUUUUUUAUUCUCUGCCGCAUAUAUACGAAGAGGUGCAAUUCCAAUUGAAUAUGCAACUAGCACUUUGCAGCUGACUCCUAUGCAGCUGCACGUUUCUAGCUUUUAGUGAAUAAGACAUAGUUAUGAUGGAAUUAGUGAAUAAGACACUCCACAAACAUCAUUAUAACUAUAGUGAAUUAGUGGAUACCUUAAUCUCUUAUUUUCUUAUCUUAAAACUAUAUUUGCGCAAGAUUUUGUUUUCCUAUGAUGUAAUGUUUGAUGUUAUCCUUAAUCUAUUGGAUCCGAAACUCUUGAUUGCUUAGUGAUAUU